UCUCAUCAAAACCAUGGAUGCCAUCGUUUAAGAAAUUCGCCGCUUGAUGUGUGGAUCCGUCGCGGCUGCCGUCAAGCAUAGACACCAAGAACCAGACCUCGGGGUGGAUCAUCGGGGUCGCGGAGGUCUACUGGAUGGGGUCAAGAAGUAUCCGGGCAAGUCGUCUCUGGGAACCCUGCUUAUUGCUCGCCGGAUGCUAGCGCCGCCGUGGACUGCGCGGCUCCGAGAAGUCGAGGUCGUCGCGACAUAUCCCAGGAACCUUCGGACUUGGAACGAAGCUGUCCAUAAUAUGGAAAGCAUGAUUGGGACGAAGGUCGAAUCAAUUCUGAAGCUAUGCGCAAGGAAGCUUCGGCUCAGUAGCAGAAAAAGGAACCGACCUAAAAAGGAAAAGGCUAUUUAGUCCUCGAUAGAUUGUCCUUAAGUCAAUUGUAAACAUGAAGAGCAUGAAUGCAAUUUUAUACAGGUUGUGCCCUAUGCGUAUAAAUAGAUGAACAAUACCCUCGUACUGUUCAUGCUGACUUGUAUUCGCUCGUGCGUCACGCUUGGACUUUUGCCUUCUAUCAAGCCGAAGGUACAAAUGUAAUUCAAUGUUGUUCUUGUCCAUCCAUGAUGAGAUAAUAAAGCUAUAUUGAUGAUGUUAUAUAAUUA